CCUUCCUUCUAGUUAACUUAUUUUUUUAUGUUUUCCUCUAAUUUAGCCAAAUCCUAUUAUGGACAAUUAAACUUGCACUAAUGAGCAAGAUUAUUUUAUAUAGCAAAGCUUCUAUACAAUACAAAAUAUUAUGGAGGAUAAAACAGGAAGAUCACAAAUUGAAGGUCAGCCUAGAAUAUAUAUCAAUACUCUAAAACUUUAUUUACAUAUUGAAACUAUGGUUCAAAAGCUAAUACUUGCUUGCCCUAGCAUGGUAGCUCAUGGUGGCUCAGCAGGCAGGAAGCUAAGACAGGAAAAUUGCCACUAAUUCAGAG